rnacentral:tRNA from 1 species
GCGCCCGUAGCUCAGCUGGAUAGAGCAGCGGAUUUCUAAUCCGCAGGUCGCAGGUUCGAGCCCUGCCGGGCGUGCCA